rnacentral:rRNA from 1 species
UACAGAGGUCUCAAGCGUUGUUCGGAUUCAUUGGGCGUAAAGGGUGCGUAGGCGGCGCGGUAAGUCGGGUGUGAAAUCUCGGAGCUUAACUCCGAAACUGCAUUCGAUACUGCCGUGCUUGAGGACUGGAGAGGAGACUGGAAUUUACGGUGUAGCGGUGAAAUGCUUAGAUAUCGGGUGGAACACCAGUGGCGAAGGCGCUGCUCUGGGCCGGUACUGACGCUGAGGAGCGAAAGCGUGGGUAGCAAACAGG